UUUUUUUUUUUUUUUUCUUCGUUCUCCCUCAACCCAAGCCGCUCAUCCCUUCCCUCAACCCACGCCGCCAAUUCAUCUCCGCUUCACUACUCCCUCUGACCAAACCAUCAUCACAAACACAGCCUCUGCUCUUCUUCCUCUGAGUGAACCCAUACCGAACCCACUCUUCUCUCCCUGACCAAACCCAAAAGCCCAGUCUUGAAAGUCAUAUUCUCAUCUCAAAACCGAAGAUUCAUGGGAGGGGAUUAGGCUUCCAUUUGGGUCAGACUGAAGCUCCAUGGGUUAGGCUUCCAUUUAGGUUUUGUUUUGGGUUAGGGAUUUUGUGGAUCUUGUAUUGCUGCUCAGUUCUUCCCGAUCUGAUCUUAGAGCUAAAAGCUUUACCCAAAUUUCGCACUCCAAAACCACCGCUGACCAGCGCACGGCGCCAUUUUGAGCUUUGGCGGACAAGUCCUCGGCUCAUCUCUAAUUCUCUCUUGUCAGUAUAACCAAAAACACUAGAGCGAUACCAGCAAUCUUGCUUCACUCCUUAGGAUAACAGCAUUGAACGUGAAGCACAGCUGCUGGAUUUCUGUACUGGAUAGCUGCUGCCAGCAGUGGAGCAUCAACAGCUAAUGCAGCAACUCAAGAAGCUGUGGUGGAAGAUGCUGUCAAAGCUAAAUGGCUUGGUUGCUGCAGAAUUUUGUUUAUGUGUAAUAGUAAAAGAGUAGCUCAAGUCUGUAAUUUUAGUUGCAUACCAAGUUGGCAGGAAAAAAUUAUGGUUGCUAACAUCUCAAACUUGAUGCAAAAUUUCAACAAUAUAAAUGAAAAUGGAUAUGUUCCAUUUAAUAAGUGAUCA